rnacentral:rRNA from 1 species
CUACGGGUGGCAGCAGUGAGGAAUAUUGCACAAUGGGGGGAACCCUGAUGCAGCAACGCCGCGUGGAGGAUGACGCAUUUCGGUGUGUAAACUCCUUUUAUAUGUCAAGAAAAUGACGGUAGCAUAUGAAUAAGCACCGGCUAACUCCGUGCCGGCAGCCGCGGUAAUACGGAGGGUGCAAGCGUGUACUCGGAAUCACUGGGCGUAAAGGACGCGUAGGCGGGUUGGAAAGUCAGGUGUGAAAUCCUACAGCUUAACUGUAGAACUGCACUUGAAACUUCUAAUCUAGAGUAUGGGAGGGGGAGAUGGAAUUAGUGGUGUAGGGGUAAAAUCCGUAGAUAUCACUAGGAAUACCUAAAGCGAAGGCGAUCUCCUGGAACAUUACUGACGCUAAGGCGUGAAAGCGUGGGGAGCAAACAGGAUUAGAUACCCCUGUAGUC